rnacentral:rRNA from 1 species
UGUGCCUACGGGGCGCAGCAGUGAGGAAUAUUGGUCAGUGGGCGGGAGCCUGAACCAGCCAAGUCGCGUGAGGGAAGACGGUCCUAUGGAUUGUAAACCUCUUUAGGCGGGGAGCAAUGCCGGGCACGCGUGCCCGGAGGGAGAGUACCCGCAGAAUAAGCAUCGGCUAACUCCGUGCCAGCAGCCGCGGUAAUACGGAGGAUGCGUGCGUUAUUCGGAUUUAUUGGGUUUAAAGGGUGCGUAGAUGGGUUGUUAAGUCAGUUGUGAAAGUUUGCGGCUCAACCGUAAAAUUGCAAUUGAUAAUG